UACGUAGGGGGCAAGCGUUAUCCGGAUUUACUGGGUGUAAAGGGAGCGUAGACGGCGUAUCAAGUCUGAUGUGAAAGGCAUGGGCUCAACCCGUGGACUGCAUUUGAAACUGCAUUUCUUGAGUGUCGGAGAGGUAGACGGAAUUCCUAGUGUAGCGGUGAAAUGCGUAGAUAUUAGGAGGAACACCAGUGGCGAAGGCGGCUUACUGGGCUUUAACUGACGCUGAGGCUCGAAAGCGUGGGGAGCAA
rnacentral:rRNA from 1 species